rnacentral:lncRNA from 12 species
GUAUGUAUUUUUCUUUAGAACCAUGUGAUUUGGUUUCGCAAUUCCUUAGCCAAUGAUUUAUCACUGUUUAGGUCACUGAAACAGAAUGCAGAUGUAUUAAGAGCAUUCCGUUUCAUUGUCAUGGAGGCAUAGUUCCGCUGUAACGAUGUAGCCAGAUCGUUGUGUCUAUCUAGUCAAAGAUAUCAUGGAUCUCAAGAUUCAUUCAUCUGUUUAUUUGUUCAACAAAUAUUUGUCGAACUCAAGAAGCACAUAGAAGAAGAAAAGAGUUGAAGAAGCAGCCUGAAAAAAAAUGGCUAAAACAUCCACCAGACAAGAGUGAAUUCUACUACCUCGGCAGACUGUUGUCAGGAGACGAGUCAAAAGGUAAUGUAGGGAAUAAGAGAAAAAAGCUAGAUUGCUUUUUUUUUUUUGAAAAAAAAAAAAAAAGUGGAAAGAAUACCCUCUAAGCAAAGAUACAGAUGCAGUGAGAC